GGGGCGAUCCCCACUUCUCAAACCCUAAAUUCUGCUUAAACUCUCAAUUGAAGGAGCAAAUCUGGUCCAAACGAAAAUCCAAGCUUAGAAUCGUGAUCCUCAUCGCAAGAGGAUUAUAAGGAACGGGCGCAGGAGCGUCAAGCGGACAAGCGGGUGGCGAGCCACGUCAAAAAGGGCUACUUUGAAGGUGACGUAAUGGAUCUUACGGAUGGCGGUCGAGCGAAUAAUGAAGAACCGAACACUACAUUUUGAAAGCUUCCGCAAUGUUUUAAAUCUUUAGUAGUCUUAUGUAUGAAUUGUAAUUACUUGUUAAACUACUUUUGGUAUGUUUUAACUUAUACACUAGUCGACUAAGGUUGACGUACUUAAGAACUCCGUUAACGGAUGUUAUGUCACUAAAACAAUAUUUUGAUA